UACGGAGGGAGCUAGCGUUGUUCGGAAUUACUGGGCGUAAAGCGCACGUAGGCGGCUACUCAAGUCGGGGGUGAAAGCCCGGGGCUCAACCCCGGAACUGCCCUCGAAACUAGGUGGCUAGAAUCUUGGAGAGGUCAGUGGAAUUCCGAGUGUAGAGGUGAAAUUCGUAGAUAUUCGCAAGAACACCAAGUGGCGAAGGCGGCUCAACUGGC
rnacentral:rRNA from 1 species